UACAGAGGUCCCGAGCGUUGUUCGGAUUCAUUGGGCGUAAAGGGUGCGUAGGCGGCGGGGUAAGUUUGAUGUGAAAUCCCGGGGCUCAACCCUGGAAUUGCAUUGAAUACUACCUUGCUAGAGUACCGGAGAGGAAACUGGAAUUUACGGUGUAGCAGUGAAAUGCGUAGAGAUCGUGAAGGAAGACCGAGUGGAGCGAACGGCGAGUUCUGGACGGUA
rnacentral:rRNA from 1 species